rnacentral:rRNA from 1 species
AGUAACGCGUGAGGAACCUGCCUCAAAGAGGGGGACGACAGUUGGAAACGACUGCUAAUACCGCAUAAGCCCACGGCUCGGCAUCGAGCAGAGGGAAAAGGAGCAAUCCGCUUUGAGAUGGCCUCGCGUCCGAUUAGCUGGUUGGUGAGGUAAUGGCCCACCAAGGCGACGAUCGGUAGUCGGACUGAGAGGUUGAACGGCCACAUUGGGACUGAGACACGGCCCAG